rnacentral:rRNA from 1 species
CGUAGGUGGCAAGCGUUGUCCGGAUUUACUGGGCGUAAAGAGCGCGCAGGCGGUCAAUUAAGUCGAGUGUGAAAGCCCCCGGCUCAACUGGGGAGGGUCACUCGAUACUGCUUGACUCGAAGGCGGGAGAGGGAAGUGGAAUUCCCGGUGUAGUGGUGAAAUGCGUAGAUAUCGGGAGGAACACCAGUGGCGAAGGCGACUUCCUGGCCCGUUCUUGACGCUGAGGCGCGAAAGCUAGGGGAGCAAACGGGAUUAGAUACCCCGGUAGUCCUAGCCGUAAACGAUGGACACUAGGUGUUGGUGGUAUCAACCCCGCCAGUGCCGUAGCUAACGCAUUAAGUGUCCCGCCUGGGGAGUACGGCCGCAAGGCUA